rnacentral:rRNA from 1 species
AAUGAACGCUGGCGGCAUGCCUAACACAUGCAAGUCGAACGAAGGCUUCGGCCUUAGUGGCGCACGGGUGCGUAACGCGUGGGAAUCUGCCCUCAGGUUCGGAAUAACAGCGAGAAAUUGCUGCUAAUACCGGAUGAUAUCGCGAGAUCAAAGAUUUAUCGCCUGAGGAUGAGCCCGCGUAGGAUUAGCUAGUUGGUGUGGUAAAGGCGCACCAAGGCGACGAUCCUUAGCUGGUCUGAG